GACGAACGCUGGCGGCGUGCUUAACACAUGCAAGUCGAACGGAAAGGCCCUGCUUUUGUGCGGUGCUCGGGUGGCGACCGGGCGCGUAACACGUGCGUAACCUGCACCUGACUUUGGGUUAACUUUAGGCAACCGGGGGUCAUACCGGAUAGGCACUCCAGCGGCAUGGGGGGGGCUGGAACGUUUCGGAGGUUCGGGAUGGACUCGCGGCUUUUCAUCUUGUUGGCUGGGUAGUGGCGUAACAAGGCUUCGACGGGUAGACGGCCUGAGAGGGUGACCGGCCACCUUGGGACUGAGAUACGGCACGGAGCACUGCGGGAGGCAGGAGUGGGGAAGAGUGCACGAUGGGCCGAAGCCUGAUGCAGCAACGCCGCGUGCGGGAUUGCAGCCUUCUGUUUGGAGGCGGUAUUCGCCGGUGACUGAGCGUGAUUGACGGUAAUGGAUAAAUAAGCACCGGCUAACUACGUG
rnacentral:rRNA from 1 species